GGGCCGUUAGCUCAAUUGGUAGAGCAGGAAACUCUUAAUUUCAAGGUUAUAGGUUCAAGUCCUAUACGGCCCA
rnacentral:tRNA from 1 species